rnacentral:rRNA from 1 species
CAGCAGGCGCGAAAAUUGCCCAAUCCUGAUUCAGGGAGGCAGUGACAAGAAAUAACAACUCUCAACAUUGUUGAGAAGUGUAAUGAGGAUAAUUUACAAACCUUACCGAAAGCAAUUGGAGGGCAAGUCUGGUGCCAGCAGCCGCGGUAAUUCCAGCUCCAAAAGCGUAUAUUAAAGUUGUUGCAGUUAAAAAGCUCGUAGUUGAAGUUCUGGCUGUAUUGGGCCUCUGCACUUGAUGCGAAGGAACCAGCAGUCAUCCGCUUGCAAAUACAUGUUCUUCCUUAACCGGUAGACUGUAUAAGUAAGCAAUUUACCUUGAGAAAAACAGAGUGUUCCAGGCAGGUUUGUCCGGAAUGCAUUAGCAUGGAAUAAUAGAAUAUGACUAGAGUCGAUUUGUUGGUUAAAGGCGUUUAGUAAUGAUU